NNNNNACUCCCUCCGUUGCACAAUACAUGCCUUCUAUUUGUCAAAAUAUAUAUGUAUCUAGACAUGUUUUAGUAUAUAGGUACAUCCAUUUUUGGACAAAUGGAAGUCAAGUAUUUUGGAACGGAGGGAGUACGCA
rnacentral:pre_miRNA from 1 species